rnacentral:rRNA from 1 species
UACAGAGGGUGCAAGCGUUGUUCGGAAUUAUUGGGCGUAAAGGGCGCGUAGGCGGUGCCACAAGUCACCUGUGAAAUCUCCGGGCUUAACUCGGAGCCUGCAGGCGAAACUGUGGUGCUGGAGUGUGGGAGAGGUGCGUGGAAUUCCCGGUGUAGCGGUGAAAUGCGUAGAUAUCAGGAGGAACACCGGCGGUGUAGACGGCUUUCUGGACCGUAGCUGACGCUGAGACACGAAAGCGUGGGUAGCAAACAGG